rnacentral:rRNA from 1 species
CGUCCAGACUCCUACGGGAGGCAGCAGUGGGGAAUAUUGCACAAUGGGGGAAACCCUGAUGCAGCGACGCCGCGUGAAGGAAGAAGUAUUUCGGUAUGUAAACUUCUAUCAGCAGGGAAGAAAAUGACGGUACCUGACUAAGAAGCCCCGGCUAACUACGUGCCAGCAGCCGCGGUAAUACGUAGGGGGCAAACGUUAUCCGGAUUUACUGGGUGUAAAGGGAGCGUAGACGGCGCUGCAAGUCCGGAGUGAAAGCCCAUGGCUUAACCAUGGUACUGCUCUGGAAACUGUGGAGCUUGAGUGCGGGAGGGGCAGGCGGAAUUCCUAGUGUAGCGGUGAAAUGCGUAGAUAUUAGGAGGAACACCGGCGGCGAAGGCGGCUUACUGGACGAUGACUGACGCUGAGGCUCGAAAGCGUGGGGAGCAAACAGGAUUAGAUACCCCAGUA